rnacentral:rRNA from 1 species
AUGAAGGAGGAGAAAGAAACAAUAGUAACGUGGUCUAGGCCCAGCACUAAAAAACCCACUUUUUUACGAUUACGAGGCAAUGAGUUUCGACGAAAGGAACAUAUACCUAUUUACAUAACAAAUCCUAUGGUAGGUCGCAAAUUGGGGGAAUUCGUGCCUACUCGGCAUUUCACGAGUUAUGAAAAUGCAAGAAAGGAUACUAAAUCUCGUCGUUAA